AGACCGUGAGGUGGAGCAAAACUCAAAAACUUAGUCUCAGUUCGGAUUGUAGGCUGAAACUACGCCUACAUGAAGCUGGAGUUGCUAGUAAUCGCGAAUCAGCAUGUCGCGGUGAAUACGUUCCCGGGCCUUGUACACACCGCCCGUCACACCAUGAGAGUUGGCAAUACCCAACGUACGUGAUCUAACCCGCAAGGGAGGAAGCGUCCUAAGGUAGGGUCAGCGAUUGGGGUGAAGUCGUAACAAGGUACC
rnacentral:rRNA from 1 species